GUCCAGCGUCUUACCUGUUCAAUAUUUAGACUGACCAAACCCAUAGCUCUAAUACUGUCAGGUAAUGACGCUGGAU
rfam:Caenorhabditis briggsae complete genome, chrII